rnacentral:rRNA from 1 species
GACGAACGCUGGCGGCGUGCUUAACACAUGCAAGUCGAACGGAAAGGCCCUGCUUUUGUGGGGUGCUCGAGUGGCGAACGGGUGAGUAACACGUGAGUAACCUGCCCUUGACUUUGGGAUAACUUCAGGAAACUGGGGCUAAUACCGGAUAGGAGCUCCUGCUGCAUGGUGGGGGUUGGAAAGUUUCGGCGGUUGGGGAUGGACUCGCGGCUUAUCAGCUUGUUGGUGGGGUAGUGGCUUACCAAGGCUUUGACGGGUAGCCGGCCUGAGAGGGUGACCGGCCACAUUGGGACUGGGAUACGGCCCAGACUCCAACGGGAGGCAGCAGUGGGGAAUAUUGCACAAUGGGCGGAAGCCUGAUGCAGCAACGCCGCGUGCGGGAUGACGGCCUUCGGGUUGUAAACCGCUUUCGCCUGUGACGAAGCGUGAGUGACGGUAAUGGGUGAAGAAGCACCGGCUAACUACGUG